UUUAUCUUUUGGUUCAAAAAAAAAAAUUUUAUGCACUUCAACAGAGACGCAACGUAAUUAAAUGAUCAAAUGUCACAAAAUUCCCAUUCAAAAUCAAAACAACUACAGAUAAAAUAAAACUAACAUUGACUAAAUAGCACCAAAUGUGAAUAACACCCAUCAAACAAUGUUCUCAUAAAACUUGUUCACCGCACAAUUGUUGACUGGAUCUAUAAUUCGAUUAAGCUGAUGUUGUAGCUCCCUUCUUCCUUGGUGCUGCUUGAGUGCCUUCUCUAAAACCACUCUUGAACCUGCGAGGUACAUGGCG
rnacentral:misc_RNA from 1 species